rnacentral:rRNA from 1 species
GAUGAACGCUAGCUACAGGCUUAACACAUGCAAGUCGAGGGACCGGCGCACGGGUGAGUAACACGUAUCCAACCUGCCCUUUACUCGGGGAUAGCCUUUCGAAAGAAAGAUUAAUACCCGAUGUAAAGGAUGGGGAUGCGUUCCAUUAGGUUGUUGGUGAGGUAACGGCUCACCAAGCCUUCGAUGGAUAGGGGUUCUGAGAGGAAGUUCCCCGACAUUGGAACUGAGACACGGUCCAAACGCCGACGAGAGGCAGCGGUGAUGAAGAUUUGUAAAUGGGCGUUAGGCUGAACCAGCCAAGUAGCGUGAAGGAUGAAGGGUUAUGGGUCGUAAACUUCUUGUAUAUAAGAAUAUGUAUUAGAUGAAUAAGGAACGGCUAACUCCGUGCCAGCAGCCGCGGUAAUAC